GAUGAACGCUGGCGGCGUGCCUAAUACAUGCAAGUCGAGCGAACGGACGAGAAGCUUGCUUCUCUGAUGUUAGCGGCGGACGGGUGAGUAACACGUGGAUAACCUACCUAUAAGACUUGGAUAACUUCGGGAAACCGUAGCUAAUACCGGAUAAUAUUUUGAACCGCAUGGUUCAAAAGUGAAAGACGGUCUUGCUGUCACUUAUAGAUGGAUCCGCACUGCAUUAGCUAGUUGGUAAGGUAACGGCUUACCAAGGCAACGAUGCAUAGCCGACCUGAGAGGGUGAUCGGCCACACUGGAACUGAGACACGGUCCAGACUCCUACGGGAGGCAGCAGUAGGGAAUCUUCCGCAAUGGGCGAAAGCCUGACGGAGCAACGCCGCGUGAGUGAUGAAGGUCUUCGGAUCGUAAAACUCUGUUAUUAGGGAAGAACAUAUGUGUAAGUAACUGUGCACAUCUUGACGGUACCUAAUCAGAAAGCCACGGCUAACUACGUG
rnacentral:rRNA from 1 species